rnacentral:tRNA from 1 species
GCGUUUGUGGUUUAGUGGUAAAAUCCAUCGUUGCCAUGAAAGAGAUUCACUAUCUCUUCAACAGUCUCGAUGGGCCCCGGGUUCGAUUCCCGGCGAACGCA